UAAUAACAAAACGGACUCUUCCAAUUUAUAAAAUCAAAAUUCCAAUGGCUUUUGCUACUCUAACCUUCCCGACCACGCUUUUACCUUUUGUCGAGGCAUUGGAAAGAAAAUAGUAAAAAAAAACGAAAGUAGUAAAUAGAUAAAGAAAUUGUGGGUUCCGUCGUCUCUAUGAUUACUUCUUAAACGGUGAGGCCCUCUCUAUACACCGGAGCCACUUCCUUCAUUUAAUCAAUUCUAUUGGUAACUUGUACAGUUACCACUCUUCGGCUCUACCCAUGAAUUUUCUAGUAAUAGGUCUUUCAUAACGAGAUAGACCUUAUACAGUAACGGUAUUUAAUUAUGAAGAUUGGUGGGGUAGCUGACCUUGUUAGUCCGUUCUUGCAAGAGUAGAAAGAUAAUCUUUCUGCUUUUUUAUAGUAUUUCCCCGCUUAAUGGAUAACUAUUUGUUACCAAUGGGGAAUUCUUUCUCACCUUAAAUUAAUUGCAAAUUGAGGUGGUGGAAUUUGCGCCAGUGGAAACCAUAAAUUUCAUACACAAUAGAAAGAUAUGAUAGAUCGAUCUUUUUUUAGAUAGUGAAUGGAGUUCUUCUUCUUCUAUUCUAUCCGAUUCACAGGUACUGAUCAUUGAUACUUAAAAAAGGGUUUCUUUCUUUUGGUUUGUCUCAGCCCAUGAUUGAAACGAGUCGCACAUACACCCUUGUACAUGUUCCUCGGCGCUGAGGACAUCCCGCAGAGCGGGGAUUUGGUAACAUUUCUAAUUGGCUGUCUUGGGUUUCUAAUAAGUUGUUUAAUAGUUGGCAUGCUGAAUUAUCCAUUAUGGGCUGGUUUAGAUCGAUCCUAACCGGAUGAUUAUGAAUUUCUUCUGUUUAAUAGAAUAUUAAACCCUUAAGAAGUGACUGCUAUGUUUUAUCCAACCGCUACAAGAUCAACAAGUCCAUGAGCUUGGGCUUCUGUUGCUGACAUAAAAGUAUCCCUUUCCAUGUCUUCGGAUACAACCCAUAAGGGCUUGCCCGAUCUUUGUACAUAAACCAUUGUAAGGAUUUCGCGCAGUCUCAGUAGUUCUUCCGUAUCCAGGAUAAAUUCUCCCGUUUGUGCCCCAUAAAAAGCGCCAAUAGGUUGAUGGAUCAUGACCCUGAUGAUAUAUUAUAACAUAAUAAAAGGUUCCUCUAUCUCGCACGAUUCGGCGAGGGGAAGAGAUAAAGAAAAAGAUAGAAUUGAACAACCGUACGGGCACUUUUUCGCAUUGCAUACGGCUCGCCAAUGGAAUUUGCUUUUUACCCUUCAUCAAACAAGGAUAAAAAGGGGGUUCUAUUAUACCCAGAUGGGUAAAUGAUCCAAUUACCACCCUUCUUUUUUUUUGAGGAGUUCAAAAAUACUAUGAUGGCUCCGUUGCUUUAUAUAUUUAUUUUUUUUGUGAUUCAGCAAUCCCAAAGUUUCUUUUUUUUUUUUCAAAUCAAAAUCAAAAAAGAAAUAAAUCAAAAAUAAUCUUCUUUUUUGAUUUUCGUACUCUUUCAUACCAUAAAUCUUGUUAAUUGUUAAUUGUUAAGAACCUUUCGGCGUGAAAAAGGUGUGUGGCGCUGCAAUAGGCCUCCGAUAGGUAAGAUAAACUCGGAAUACCCCUUCUUUAUCUCAUACUACUGCUUCGAUACAUAAUCAAAUAUUUUGAAAAAAAAAAAAAACACUAACAAUUUUCAUAUCGAAUUCGAAGUGCCAUGCUAUUAUUACUUAAUAUUAAGAAUUCAUAUGGCGAAGGCAUAGUCUUCUUUUUCUCUCAAAUAAAAAACUCAUUGGCGCCAAGCGUGAGGGAAUGCUAGACGUUUGGUACUUGCUCCGGCGGCCAGGAGAAAAGACCCCAUGGAGGCGGCCAAUCCCAUGCAUAUGUCUGUACAUCGGGUCGCACAAAUUGCAUAGUAUCAUAAAUUGCUAUCCCGGGUAUUACCCAUCCGCCAGGAGAGUUGAUAAAUAAAUACAAAUCCUUGGUCUCGUUCUCUAUACUGAGAUAUACCAUAAUACCAAUAAGUUGAUUCGAGAUAUCGCUCUCAACCAUUUGACCUAAAAAAAGUAAUCUUUCUCGAUAAAGUCGGUUGAUUAGGAUAAAACAGUAUCCUUUCGGAGCCGUACAGGCAUCUUUUGAUGCAUACGGUUCAACAAAACUUGCGAAAAACAAAUCAAUGUGUAGCUCCUAGCCCCUUUCCUUUCUUUUUUCCUCGCUUCUAUCGAGGGGCUUUUCUUCCGGUUUUCAAGAACGCUGAGUUUAGCCGGUUUCCUAGACCUAUAAUAUUCUAAUAUAAAAAAGAAAUUCACUAAACUUAUCGACUUAUCGAACUAACUUUUCAUUGAUGUAUUUUUUCAUCGAGAUCCGAUCCAAAAAUCACGAUGCCAUUUUCUUGUUCCUGAAUUGAAUGGGCUUCUUCCAUUUUUUUAGGUUUAGGCUCUACUCCGAGUAAGGAUUCGCCCGAUUUUGAUUUGCACAUAUAAGACAAAUGACCCAAUACCACGUCUCUUUUUUGCUAUGACUUACCCCUUUUUUAAUUCAUUUCUUUCAUGUCUUCCGCCAAAUAUUUGACAUAUUCAUCAUAUUUAGCAUUCCGUUGAUUAACGUUUGAGAUCGCUUUUCGAAUAAAGGAAUCGUUUAUGAUAUAAGUAAUAAUCAUAGAUAUAUUACCAAUUGGGUUUUCUAAACGGAGCCUGGAUACCUCAUUUUAUUGGUCCAGCCAAGACGACCAUAAAAUUGAUUUAUUGCUAAUAUUAAUCUGGAUGCUUCCUCACGAAAUAGAUCUAAUUGCACUUCAUUGCAUUUCAACGCUACAAAUUUUGAUAAUUCAAUCAAUUUUUUGGGCGAAACAGAGGAUAUCUCGAUCGGGGGAGAGAACGGGGAAAUCCCAUAUGACCCAAUAGAUCUGACAAGUCGCACUAUAUGUCAACCCAAGAUGGAUGCUUGUCCCCGGGACUUCGAUAAGGUACUUUUGGAACACCAAUAGGCAUAAAAUGAAAGAAAAAAGAAUUAAGUACUCUAGUUCACUUUGAUGUGGAAGCGUAAUAAUGGGCUUCUUGUCUUAAUACUAGUGGCCGUUAUCUUAGUUUAUACAUAGAUUGACGAAGUUCAUAAAAUAAAGGAAAAUUAUUACGAAUAAGUCUUUUGAAUGAUGACCAAAUAUGGAUACAUUCGCUCAUAGAAAAGGGAAUCAACCCCAUUGCGUAUUGGUACUUAUCGAGUAUAGAAUAGAUCUGCUUCUCUUUUUUCCUACGAACCGAACUCUUCCAUUAUUACUAAAAGAAUAGAACAAAUAUUAAUAUUAAUCCCUUUUUCGAGAUAAUCCCCUGAAAAAAGGGGUACAUAGCAUAGUUUUUUUCAAUGCAAUAAAGUUACAUAGUGUCUAUUUUUUAUUAAUAAAGGGGUAGUCCCAUGGGUUUGCCUUGGUAUCGUGUUCAUACCGUCGUAUUGAAUGAUCCCGGUCGUUUGAUUGCUGUCCAUAUAAUGCAUACAGCCCUGGUUGCGGGUUGGGCCGGUUCAAUGGCUCUAUAUGAAUUAGCUGUUUUUGAUCCCUCCGAUCCAGUUCUUGAUCCAAUGUGGAGACAAGGCAUGUUCGUUAUACCCUUCAUGACUCGUUUAGGAAUAACCGAUUCAUGGGUGGUUGGAGUAUUACAGGGGGGACAGUAACGAAUCCGGGUAUUUGGAGUUACGAAGGUGUAGCGGGGGCACAUAUUGUGUUUUCCGGAUUGUGCUUCUUGGCAGCUAUCUGGCAUUGGGUGUAUUGGGAUCUAGCAAUAUUUGUUGAUGACCGUACAGGAAAACGUUCUUUGGAUUUGCCUAAAAUCUUUGGAAUUCAUUUAUUUCUCUCAGGAGUGGCUUGCUUUGGUUUUGGGACAUUUCAUGUAACAGGAUUGUAUGGUCCUGGAAUAUGGGUGUCUGAUCCGUAUGGACUAACUGGAAAGGUACAAUCUGUAAAUCCAGCAUGGGGUGUGGAAGGUUUUGAUCCUUUUGUUCCAGGAGGAAUAGCCUCUCAUCAUAUUGCGGCAGGGACAUUGGGCAUAUUAGCAGGCUUAUUCCAUCUCAGUGUCCGCCCGCCACAACGCUUAUACAAAGGAUUACGUAUGGGCAAUAUUGAAACCGUUCUUUCCAGCAGCAUCGCUGCUGUCUUUUUGCAGCGUUUGUUGUUGCUGGAACUAUGUGGUAUGGGUCAGCAACUACCCCCAUCGAAUUAUUUGGUCCCACCCGUUAUCAAUGGGAUCAGGGAUACUUUCAGCAAGAAAUAUAUCGAAGAGUCAGUGCUGGACUAGCCGAAAAUCAAAGUUUAUCAGAAGCUUGGUCUAAAAUUCCUGAAAAAUUAGCUUUUUAUGAUUACAUCGGAAAUAAUCCUGCGAAAGGGGGAUUAUUCAGAGCGGGUUCAAUGGAUAACGGGGAUGGAAUAGCUGUCGGGUGGUUAGGACACCCUAUAUUUAGAGAUAAAGAAGGGCGUGAACUUUUUGUACGUCGUAUGCCUACUUUUUUUGAAACAUUUCCAGUUGUUUUGGUAGACGGAGAUGGAAUUGUUAGAGCCGACGUUCCUUUUCGAAGGGCAGAAUCGAAGUAUAGUGUCGAACAAGUAGGUGUAACCGUUGAGUUCUAUGGUGGCGAGCUGAAUGGCGUGAGUUAUAGUGAUCCUGCUACUGUGAAAAAAUAUGCUAGACGUGCUCAAUUGGGUGAAAUUUUUGAAUUAGAUCGUGCUACUUUGAAAUCCGAUGGUGUUUUUCGUAGCAGCCCAAGGGGCUGGUUUACGUUUGGACACGCUUCAUUUGCUCUGCUUUUCUUCUUCGGACACAUUUGGCAUGGUGCUAGAACCUUGUUCAGAGAUGUUUUUGCUGGUAUUGACCCGGAUUUGGACGCUCAAGUGGAAUUUGGAGUAUUCCAAAAACUUGGAGAUCCAACUACAAGAAGACAAGUAGUCUGAUGCAGCAUUGCUCUACUAUUUUAGUUUCUCACUUCUGCUUCUAUUUUCGAUUUGUGCUUUUUAUUUAAAAUAAGGUAUAAGGUACUGGAGAAAUAUGGAUUUAAAUCGCCGCCCUUUUUGAUUCUUUUUUUCUUUAAUCCGGGGGAUGAUCCCAAAUAAACAGGUAUGGAAGCUAUAAUUGGAAACCACGAUCGAAUUUAUGGAAGCAUUGGUUUAUACAUUCCUCUUAGUCUCGACUCUAGGGAUCAUUUUUUUCGCUAUCUUUUUUCGAGAACCGCCUAAAGUUCCAACUAAAAAAACAAAAUGAUUUUUUUUUAUCUCAAUUGAAGUAAUGGGCCUCCCAAUAUUGGGAGGCCCAUUACUUCUACUUCAACUAGUCCCCGUGUUCCUCGAAUGGAUCUCUUAGUUGUUGAGAGGGUUGCCCAAAAGCAGUAUAUAAGGCGUACCCAGUAAAACUUACAAGUAACCCAGAUAUAGAGAUGGCGACUAGGGUUGCUGUUUCCAUUAUUAUAGAAUUUCAAGACCACACUGGAUCCAUGAUAAGAUCGUUUAUUUACAACGGAAUGGUAUACAAAGUCAACAGAUCUCAAUCAAUACAAAAUAGGAUUUAUGGCUACACAAACAGUUGAGGGUAGUUCUAGAGCUCGUCCAAAAAGAACUUCUGCAGGGGGGUUGUUGAAACCCUUGAAUUCGGAAUAUGGUAAAGUAGCUCCUGGAUGGGGAACUACUCCUUUGAUGGGAGUCGCAAUGGCUUUAUUUGCGGUAUUCCUAUCUAUUAUUUUGGAGAUUUAUAAUUCGUCCGUUUUACUGGACGGAAUUUCACUGAAUUAGAAUGAAAUUUACAAGAAUCACAAAAUACUACCUUUUAAAUAAGCAUUUAGGUAUCGGAUUUUGAUUUUCGUUGAUUGGUAGUUCGACCGCGAAUUUUUUAUUUCUGUAUUUCCGGAAUAUGAGUGUGCGACUUGUUCGAAUUGAUCCUAUUGAUAGUACAGAGCAUAGAUCUGUCGUCUUGAUCGAGAUGGCUUUACUCCGUCGGAUAUUCAUUCGAGUAUCUGGAGCACGGAAUAUAUGAAAUAGAUCACGAAGUAUUCGAACUAUGAUUCAUACUUAAUAUUCAGACCCCUUGGCCGGAUUCAAAAAAUUUUUCCAAAGACAAAAUUUGCAAUUGCAAGAUUUUUCUUCUUUCAAAUUCCCCAUUUCUGCUUUUAUUUUACUCAAAGCACAAAUUUGAAUAAAUGAUGAUCCAAGGAUUCUUACUCAUGGAAUCUUUGGACUUAGUUUGAAGGUUUUAUUGAAUCAUCGUGGUUCUAGUAUGAAUCUGAGGUUUCAAUUGAUUCAUAGGUCUUAACAAGAAAAUUCCUAGCAAUAAUAAAGAAAACAAAAGUCAAGCUGCAUUACAUACAACUCAAAAUAACAAAUCAAAGAAAAUGAAAUAGGUAAAUAGAAGAUUCAAGAGGCCUGUAACGAUCAACAUAAAGAUAAGCGCGUCGACUUGAUUUUUUGGCAUUCUAAUUAUAACCACAAAGAAAAGCUUUCUUAUUUUUAUUCUUUCGUAUUUUUAGAUAAGAUUGAAUCAAAAAAAUUAAGAAGUUUCCAAUUUUCUAUUCCAUACCAGUAUUGGGGUGGUUUUGUUUGAGCCGUACGAGAUGAAAUUCUCAUAUACGGUUCUCAGAGGGAGUUCUCUUGGUUUACCUAUCUCAAUAAAGUCUACGAUUGGUUCGAAGAACGUCUCGAGAUUCAGGCGAUUGCAGAUGAUAUAACUAGUAAAUACGUUCCUCCUCAUGUCAACAUAUUUUAUUGUCUGGGAGGAAUUACGCUCACUUGUUUUUUAGUACAAGUAGCUACAGGGUUUGCUAUGACUUUUUACUACCGCCCGACCGUUACUGAGGCUUUUGCCUCUGUUCAAUACAUAAUGACGGAAGUUAACUUCGGGUGGUUAAUUCGAUCGGUUCAUCGAUGGUCGGCAAGUAUGAUGGUCCUAAUGACAAUCCUGCACGUAUUUCGCGUGUAUCUCACCGGGGGUUUUAAAAAACCUCGCGAAUUGACUUGGGUUACAGGUGUGGUUCUGGCUGUAUUGACCGCAUCUUUUGGUGUAACAGGUUAUUCUUUACCUUGGGACCAAAUUGGAUAUUGGGCAGUAAAAAUUGUAACAGGCGUGCCCGAAGCAAUUCCGGUAAUAGGAUCGCCUUUGGUAGAGUUAUUACGCGGAAGUGCUAGUGUGGGACAGUCCACUUUGACUCGGUUUUAUAGUUUACACACUUUUGUAUUACCUCUUCUUACUGCCGUAUUUAUGUUAAUGCAUUUCCUAAUGAUACGUAAACAAGGUAUUUCUGGCCCUUUAUAAAAUUAUACAAAAUCUAGAUUAUAGCGAUUUGUAAUCAACCCUUUAUCUUAUUGCUUGGGGAGGAACAAUAAUAUUUCAUUGCUACAAAUAUGGAUUAUUGACAAAGAAUAAGACAUGGAGUUGGAAAUUUCCCCUCAACUCCAUAAUAUUGGACUUUUUAUUGACAUGAAUGAAAUUGGAAUUUCCGAAUGAUGCCUGAAAGAACAUUCGCGAAUUCAAUGACAAUUAGACUUCGCCGCCCAAUAUGUUCAUCACAUAUUUUUCUUGAGAAUUCCGUCAACUAUUCAUUUCAUUCAUGUCAAAUAAAAAGUCCAAUAUUAUGGAGUUGAGGGAAAUUUCCAACUCCAUGUCUUAUUCUUUGUCAAUAAUCCAUAUUUGUAGCAAUGAAAUAUUAUUGUUCCUCCCCCAAGCAAUAAGAUAAAGGGUUGAUUACAAAUCGCUAUAAUCUAGAUUUUGUAUAAUUUUAUAAAGGGCCAGAAAUACCUUGUUUACGUAUCAUUAGGAAAUGCAUUAACAUAAAUACGGCAGUAAGAAGAGGUAAUACAAAAGUGUGUAAACUAUAAAACCGAGUCAAAGUGGACUGUCCCACACUAGCACUUCCGCGUAAUAACUCUACCAAAGGCGAUCCUAUUACCGGAAUUGCUUCGGGCACGCCUGUUACAAUUUUUACUGCCCAAUAUCCAAUUUGGUCCCAAGGUAAAGAAUAACCUGUUACACCAAAAGAUGCGGUCAAUACAGCCAGAACCACACCUGUAACCCAAGUCAAUUCGCGAGGUUUUUUAAAACCCCCGGUGAGAUACACGCGAAAUACGUGCAGGAUUGUCAUUAGGACCAUCAUACUUGCCGACCAUCGAUGAACCGAUCGAAUUAACCACCCGAAGUUAACUUCCGUCAUUAUGUAUUGAACAGAGGCAAAAGCCUCAGUAACGGUCGGGCGGUAGUAAAAAGUCAUAGCAAACCCUGUAGCUACUUGUACUAAAAAACAAGUGAGCGUAAUUCCUCCCAGACAAUAAAAUAUGUUGACAUGAGGAGGAACGUAUUUACUAGUUAUAUCAUCUGCAAUCGCCUGAAUCUCGAGACGUUCUUCGAACCAAUCGUAGACUUUAUUGAGAUAGGUAAACCAAGAGAACUCCCCUCUGAGAACCGUAUAUGAGAAUUUCAUCUCGUACGGCUCAAACAAAACCACCCCAAUACUGGUAUGGAAUAGAAAAUUGGAAACUUCUUAAUUUUUUGAUUCAAUCUUAUCUAAAAAUACGAAAGAAUAAAAAUAAGAAAGCUUUUCUUUGUGGUUAUAAUUAGAAUGCCAAAAAAUCAAGUCGACGCGCUUAUCUUUAUGUUGAUCGUUACAGGCCUCUUGAAUCUUCUAUUUACCUAUUUCAUUUUCUUUGAUUUGUUAUUUUGAGUUGUAUGUAAUGCAGCUUGACUUUUGUUUUCUUUAUUAUUGCUAGGAAUUUUCUUGUUAAGACCCUAUGAAUCAAUUGAAACCUCAGAUUCAUACUAGAACCACGAUGAUUCAAUAAAACCUUCAAACUAAGUCCAAAGAUUCCAUGAGUAAGAAUCCUUGGAUCAUCAUUUAUUCAAAUUUGUGCUUUGAGUAAAAUAAAAGCAGAAAUGGGGAAUUUGAAAGAAGAAAAAUCUUGCAAUUGCAAAUUUUGUCUUUGGAAAAAUUUUUUGAAUCCGGCCAAGGGGUCUGAAUAUUAAGUAUGAAUCAUAGUUCGAAUACUUCGUGAUCUAUUUCAUAUAUUCCGUGCUCCAGAUACUCGAAUGAAUAUCCGACGGAGUAAAGCCAUCUCGAUCAAGACGACAGAUCUAUGCUCUGUACUAUCAAUAGGAUCAAUUCGAACAAGUCGCACACUCAUAUUCCGGAAAUACAGAAAUAAAAAAUUCGCGGUCGAACUACCAAUCAACGAAAAUCAAAAUCCGAUACCUAAAUGCUUAUUUAAAAGGUAGUAUUUUGUGAUUCUUGUAAAUUUCAUUCUAAUUCAGUGAAAUUCCGUCCAGUAAAACGGACGAAUUAUAAAUCUCCAAAUAAUAGAUAGGAAUACCGCAAAUAAAGCCAUUGCGACUCCCAUCAAAGGAGUAGUUCCCCAUCCAGGAGCUACUUUACCAUAUUCCGAAUUCAAGGGUUUCAACAACCCCCCCUGCAGAAGUUCUUUUUGGACGAGCUCUAGAACUACCCUCAACUGUUUGUGUAGCCAUAAAUCCUAUUUUGUAUUGAUUGAGAUCUGUUGACUUUGUAUACCAUUCCGUUGUAAAUAAACGAUCUUAUCAUGGAUCCAGUGUGGUCUUGAAAUUCUAUAAUAAUGGAAACAGCAACCCUAGUCGCCAUCUCUAUAUCUGGGUUACUUGUAAGUUUUACUGGGUACGCCUUAUAUACUGCUUUUGGGCAACCCUCUCAAACAACUAAGAGAUCCAUUCGAGGAACACGGGACUAGUUGAAGUAGAAGUAAUGGGCCUCCCAAUAUUGGGAGGCCCCAUUACUUCAAUUGAGAUAAAAAAAAAUCAUUUUGUUUUUUUAGUUGGAACUUUAGGCGGUUCUCGAAAAAAGAUAGCGAAAAAAAUGAUCCCUAGAGUCGAGACUAAGAGGAAUGUAUAAACCAAUGCUUCCAUAAAUUCGAUCGUGGUUUCCAAUUAUAGCUUCCAUACCUGUUUAUUUUGGGAUCAUCCCCCGGAUUAAAGAAAAAAAAGAAUCAAAAAGGGCGGCGAUUUAAAUCCAUAUUUCUCCAGUACCUUAUACCUUAUUUUAAAUAAAAAGCACAAAUCGAAAAUAGAAGCAGAAGUGAGAAACUAAAAUAGUAGAGCAAUGCUGCAUCAGACUACUUGUCUUCUUGUAGUUGGAUCUCCAAGUUUUUGGAAUACUCCAAAUUCCACUUGAGCGUCCAAAUCCGGGUCAAUACCAGCAAAAACAUCUCUGAACAAGGUUCUAGCACCAUGCCAAAUGUGUCCGAAGAAGAAAAGCAGAGCAAAUGAAGCGUGUCCAAACGUAAACCAGCCCCUUGGGCUGCUACGAAAAAACACCAUCGGAUUUCAAAGUAGCACGAUUAAUUCAAAAAUUUCACCCAAUUGAGCACGUCUAGCAUAUUUUUUCACAGUAGCAGGAUCACUAUAACUCACGCCAUUCAGCUCGCCACCAUAGAACUCAACGGUUACACCUACUUGUUCGACACUAUACUUCGAUUCUGCCCUUCGAAAAGGAACGUCGGCUCUAACAAUUCCAUCUCCGUCUACCAAAACAACUGGAAAUGUUUCAAAAAAAGUAGGCAUACGACGUACAAAAAGUUCACGCCCUUCUUUAUCUCUAAAAUAUAGGGUGUCCUAACCACCCGACAGCUAUUCCAUCCCCGUUAUCCAUUGAACCCGCUCUGAAUAAUCCCCCUUUCGCAGGAUUAUUUCCGAUGUAAUCAUAAAAAGCUAAUUUUUCAGGAAUUUUAGACCAAGCUUCUGAUAAACUUUGAUUUUCGGCUAGUCCAGCACUGACUCUUCGAUAUAUUUCUUGCUGAAAGUAUCCCUGAUCCCAUUGAUAACGGGUGGGACCAAAUAAUUCGAUGGGGUAGUGCUGACCCAUACCACAUAGUUCCAGCAACAAACAAACGCUGCAAAAAAGACAGCAGCGAUGCUGCUGGAAAGAACGGUUUCAAUAUUGCCCAUACGUAAUCCUUUGUAUAAGCGUUGUGGCGGGCGGACACUGAGAUGGAAUAAGCCUGCUAAUAUGGCCAAAUGUCCCUGCCGCAAUAUGAUGAGAGGCUAUUCCUCCUGGAACAAAAGGAUCAAAACCUUCCACACCCCAUGCUGGAUUUACAGAUUGUACCUUUCCAGUUAGUCCAUACGGAUCAGACACCCAUAUUCCAGGACCAUACAAUCCUGUUACAUGAAAUGUCCCAAAACCAAAGCAAGCCACUCCUGAGAGAAAUAAAUGAAUUCCAAAGAUUUAGGCAAAUCCAAAGAACGUUUUCCUGUACGGUCAUCAACAAAUAUUGCUAGAUCCAAAUACACCCAAUGCCAGAUAGCUGCAAGAAGCACAAUCCGGAAAACACAAUAUGUGCCCCCGCUACACCUUCGUAACUCCAAAUACCCGGAUUCGUUACUGUCCCCUGUAAUACUCCAACCACCCCAUGAAUCGGUUAUUCCUAAACGAGUCAUGAAGGAUCCCCAAGCAAUAAGAUAAAGGGUUGAUUACAAAUCGCUAUAAUCUAGAUUUUGUAUAAUUUUAUAAAAGGGCCAGAAAUACCUUGUUUACGUAUCAUUAGGAAAUGCAUUAACAUAAAUACGGCAGUAAGAAGAGGUAAUACAAAAGUGUGUAAACUAUAAACCGAGUCAAAGUGGACUGUCCCACACUAGCACUUCCGCGUAAUAACUCUACCAAAGGCGAUCCUAUUACCGAAUUGCUUCGGGCACGCCUGUUACAAUUUUUACUGCCCAAUAUCCAAUUUGGUCCCAAGGUAAAGAAUAACCUGUUACACCAAAAGAUGCGGUCAAUACAGCCAGAACCACACCUGUAACCCAAGUCAAUUCGCGAGGUUUUUUAAAACCCCCGGUGAGAUACACGCGAAAUACGUGCAGGAUUGUCAUUAGGACCAUCAUACUUGCCGACCAUCGAUGAACCGAUCGAAUUAACCACCCGAAGUUAACUUCCGUCAUUAUGUAUUGAACAGAGGCAAAAGCCUCCAGUAACGGUCGGGCGGUAGUAAAAAGUCAUAGCAAACCCUGUAGCUACUUGUACUAAAAAACAAGUGAGCGUAAUUCCUCCCAGACAAUAAAAUAUGUUGACAUGAGGAGGAACGUAUUUACUAGUUAUAUCAUCUGCAAUCGCCUGAAUCUCGAGACGUUCUUCGAACCAAUCGUAGACUUUAUUGAGAUAGGUAAACCAAGAGAACUCCCCUCUGAGAACCGUAUAUGAGAAUUUCAUCUCGUACGGCUCAAACAAAACCACCCCAAUACUGGUAUGGAAUAGAAAAUUGGAAACUUCUUAAUUUUUUGAUUCAAUCUUAUCUAAAAAUACGAAAGAAUAAAAAUAAGAAAGCUUUUCUUUGUGGUUAUAAUUAGAAUGCCAAAAAAUCAAGUCGACGCGCUUAUCUUUAUGUUGAUCGUUACAGGCCUCUUGAAUCUUCUAUUUACCUAUUUCAUUUUCUUUGAUUUGUUAUUUUGAGUUGUAUGUAAUGCAGCUUGACUUUUGUUUUCUUUAUUAUUGCUAGGAAUUUCUUGUUAAGACCCUAUGAAUCAAUUGAAACCUCAGAUUCAUACUAGAACCACGAUGAUUCAAUAAAACCUUCAAACUAAGUCCAAAGAUUCCAUGAGUAAGAAUCCUUGGAUCAUCAUUUAUUCAAAUUUGUGCUUUGAGUAAAAUAAAAGCAGAAAUGGGGAAUUUGAAAGAAGAAAAAUCUUGCAAUUGCAAAUUUUGUCUUUGGAAAAAUUUUUUGAAUCCGGCCAAGGGGUCUGAAUAUUAAGUAUGAAUCAUAGUUCGAAUACUUCGUGAUCUAUUUCAUAUAUUCCGUGCUCCAGAUACUCGAAUGAAUAUCCGACGGAGUAAAGCCAUCUCGAUCAAGACGACAGAUCUAUGCUCUGUACUAUCAAUAGGAUCAAUUCGAACAAGUCGCACACUCAUAUUCCGGAAAUACAGAAAUAAAAAAUUCGCGGUCGAACUACCAAUCAACGAAAAUCAAAAUCCGAUACCUAAAUGCUUAUUUAAAAGGUAGUAUUUUGUGAUUCUUGUAAAUUUCAUUCUAAUUCAGUGAAAUUCCGUCCAGUAAAACGGACGAAUUAUAAAUCUCCAAAAUAAUAGAUAGGAAUACCGCAAAUAAAGCCAUUGCGACUCCCAUCAAAGGAGUAGUUCCCCAUCCAGGAGCUACUUUACCAUAUUCCGAAUUCAAGGGUUUCAACAACCCCCCUGCAGAAGUUCUUUUUGGACGAGCUCUAGAACUACCCUCAACUGUUUGUGUAGCCAUAAAUCCUAUUUUGUAUUGAUUGAGAUCUGUUGACUUUGUAUACCAUUCCGUUGUAAAUAAACGAUCUUAUCAUGGAUCCAGUGUGGUCUUGAAAUUCUAUAAUAAUGGAAACAGCAACCCUAGUCGCCAUCUCUAUAUCUGGGUUACUUGUAAGUUUUACUGGGUACGCCUUAUAUACUGCUUUUGGGCAACCCUCUCAACAACUAAGAGAUCCAUUCGAGGAACACGGGGACUAGUUGAAGUAGAAGUAAUGGGCCUCCCAAUAUUGGGAGGCCCAUUACUUCAAUUGAGAUAAAAAAAAAUCAUUUUGUUUUUUUAGUUGGAACUUUAGGCGGUUCUCGAAAAAAGAUAGCGAAAAAAAUGAUCCCUAGAGUCGAGACUAAGAGGAAUGUAUAAACCAAUGCUUCCAUAAAUUCGAUCGUGGUUUCCAAUUAUAGCUUCCAUACCUGUUUAUUUGGGAUCAUCCCCCGGAUUAAAGAAAAAAAGAAUCAAAAAGGGCGGCGAUUUAAAUCCAUAUUUCUCCAGUACCUUAUACCUUAUUUUAAAUAAAAAGCACAAAUCGAAAAUAGAAGCAGAAGUGAGAAACUAAAAUAGUAGAGCAAUGCUGCAUCAGACUACUUGUCUUCUUGUAGUUGGAUCUCCAAGUUUUUGGAAUACUCCAAAUUCCACUUGAGCGUCCAAAUCCGGGUCAAUACCAGCAAAAACAUCUCUGAACAAGGUUCUAGCACCAUGCCAAAUGUGUCCGAAGAAGAAAAGCAGAGCAAAUGAAGCGUGUCCAAACGUAAACCAGCCCCUUGGGCUGCUACGAAAAACACCAUCGGAUUUCAAAGUAGCACGAUCUAAUUCAAAAAUUUCACCCAAUUGAGCACGUCUAGCAUAUUUUUUCACAGUAGCAGGAUCACUAUAACUCACGCCAUUCAGCUCGCCACCAUAGAACUCAACGGUUACACCUACUUGUUCGACACUAUACUUCGAUUCUGCCCUUCGAAAAGGAACGUCGGCUCUAACAAUUCCAUCUCCGUCUACCAAAACAACUGGAAAUGUUUCAAAAAAAGUAGGCAUACGACGUACAAAAAGUUCACGCCCUUCUUUAUCUCUAAAUAUAGGGUGUCCUAACCACCCGACAGCUAUUCCAUCCCCGUUAUCCAUUGAACCCGCUCUGAAUAAUCCCCCUUUCGCAGGAUUAUUUCCGAUGUAAUCAUAAAAAGCUAAUUUUUCAGGAAUUUUAGACCAAGCUUCUGAUAAACUUUGAUUUUCGGCUAGUCCAGCACUGACUCUUCGAUAUAUUUCUUGCUGAAAGUAUCCCUGAUCCCAUUGAUAACGGGUGGGACCAAAUAAUUCGAUGGGGUAGUUGCUGACCCAUACCACAUAGUUCCAGCAACAACAAACGCUGCAAAAAAGACAGCAGCGAUGCUGCUGGAAAGAACGGUUUCAAUAUUGCCCAUACGUAAUCCUUUGUAUAAGCGUUGUGGCGGGCGGACACUGAGAUGGAAUAAGCCUGCUAAUAUGCCCAAUGUCCCUGCCGCAAUAUGAUGAGAGGCUAUUCCUCCUGGAACAAAAGGAUCAAAACCUUCCACACCCCAUGCUGGAUUUACAGAUUGUACCUUUCCAGUUAGUCCAUACGGAUCAGACACCCAUAUUCCAGGACCAUACAAUCCUGUUACAUGAAAUGUCCCAAAACCAAAGCAAGCCACUCCUGAGAGAAAUAAAUGAAUUCCAAAGAUUUUAGGCAAAUCCAAAGAACGUUUUCCUGUACGGUCAUCAACAAAUAUUGCUAGAUCCCAAUACACCCAAUGCCAGAUAGCUGCCAAGAAGCACAAUCCGGAAAACACAAUAUGUGCCCCCGCUACACCUUCGUAACUCCAAAUACCCGGAUUCGUUACUGUCCCCCCUGUAAUACUCCAACCACCCCAUGAAUCGGUUAUUCCUAAACGAGUCAUGAAGGGUAUAACGAACAUGCCUUGUCUCCACAUUGGAUCAAGAACUGGAUCGGAGGGAUCAAAAACAGCUAAUUCAUAUAGAGCCAUUGAACCGGCCCAACCCGCAACCAGGGCUGUAUGCAUUAUAUGGACAGCAAUCAAACGACCGGGAUCAUUCAAUACGACGGUAUGAACACGAUACCAAGGCAAACCCAUGGGACUACCCCUUUAUUAAUAAAAAAUAGACACUAUGUAACUUUAUUGCAUUGAAAAAAACUAUGCUAUGUACCCCUUUUUUCAGGGGAUUAUCUCGAAAAAGGGAUUAAUAUUAAUAUUUGUUCUAUUCUUUUAGUAAUAAUGGAAGAGUUCGGUUCGUAGGAAAAAAGAGAAGCAGAUCUAUUCUAUACUCGAUAAGUACCAAUACGCAAUGGGGGUUGAUUCCCUUUUCUAUGAGCGAAUGUAUCCAUAUUUGGUCAUCAUUCAAAAGACUUAUUCGUAAUAAUUUUCCUUUAUUUUAUGAACUUCGUCAAUCUAUGUAUAAACUAAGAUAACGGCCACUAGUAUUAAGACAAGAAGCCCAUUAUUACGCUUCCACAUCAAAGUGAACUAGAGUACUUAAUUCUUUUUUCUUUCAUUUUAUGCCUAUUGGUGUUCCAAAAGUACCUUAUCGAAGUCCCGGGGACAAGCAUCCAUCUUGGGUUGACAUAUAGUGCGACUUGUCAGAUCUAUUGGGUCAUAUGGGAUUUCCCCGUUCUCUCCCCCGAUCGAGAUAUCCUCUGUUUCGCCCAAAAAAUUGAUUGAAUUAUCAAAAAUUUGUAGCGUGAAAUGCAAUGAAGUGCAAUUAGAUCUAUUUCGUGAGGAAGCAUCCAGAUUAAUAUUAGCAAUAAAUCAAUUUUAUGGUCGUCUUGGCUGGACCAAUAAAAUGAGGUAUCCAGGCUCCGUUUAGAAAAACCCAAUUGGUAAUAUAUCUAUGAUUAUUACUUAUAUCAUAAACGAUUCCUUUAUUCGAAAAGCGAUCUCAAACGUUAAUCAACGGAAUGCUAAAUAUGAUGAAUAUGUCAAAUAUUUGGCGGAAGACAUGAAAGAAAUGAAUUAAAAAAGGGGUAAGUCAUAGCAAAAAAGAGACGUGGUAUUGGGGUCAUUUGUCUUAUAUGUGCAAAUCAAAAUCGGGCGAAUCCUUACUCGGAGUAGAGCCUAAACCUAAAAAAAUGGAAGAAGCCCAUUCAAUUCAGGAACAAGAAAAUGGCAUCGUGAUUUUUGGAUCGGAUCUCGAUGAAAAAAUACAUCAAUGAAAAGUUAGUUCGAUAAGUCGAUAAGUUUAGUGAAUUUCUUUUUUAUAUUAGAAUAUUAUAGGUCUAGGAAACCGGCUAAACUCAGCGUUCUUGAAAACCGGAAGAAAAGCCCCUCGAUAGAAGCGAGGAAAAAAGAAAGGAAAGGGGCUAGGAGCUACACAUUGAUUUGUUUUUCGCAAGUUUUGUUGAACCGUAUGCAUCAAAAGAUGCCUGUACGGCUCCGAAAGGAUACUGUUUUAUCCUAAUCAACCGACUUUAUCGAGAAAGAUUACUUUUUUUAGGUCAAAUGGUUGAGAGCGAUAUCUCGAAUCAACUUAUUGGUAUUAUGGUAUAUCUCAGUAUAGAGAACGAGACCAAGGAUUUGUAUUUAUUUAUCAACUCUCCUGGCGGAUGGGUAAUACCCGGGAUAGCAAUUUAUGAUACUAUGCAAUUUGUGCGACCCGAUGUACAGACAAUAUGCAUGGGAUUGGCCGCCUCCAUGGGGUCUUUUCUCCUGGCCGCCGGAGCAAGUACCAAACGUCUAGCAUUCCCUCACGCUUGGCGCCAAUGAGUUUUUUAUUUGAGAGAAAAAAGAAGACUAUGCCUUCGCCAUAUGAAUUCUUAAUAUUAAGUAAUAAUAGCAUGGCACUUCGAAUUCGAUAUGAAAAUUGUUAGUGUUUUUUUUUUUUUUUCAAAAUAUUUGAUUAUGUAUCGAAGCAGUAGUAUGAGAUAAAGAAGGGGUAUUCCGAGUUUAUCUUACCUAUCGGAGGCCUAUUGCAGCGCCACACACCUUUUUCACGCCGAAAGGUUCUUAACAAUUAACAAUUAACAAGAUUUAUGGUAUGAAAGAGUACGAAAAUCAAAAAAGAAGAUUAUUUUUGAUUUAUUUCUUUUUUGAUUUUGAUUUGAAAAAAAAAAAAAGAAACUUUGGGAUUGCUGAAUCACAAAAAAAAUAAAUAUAUAAAGCAACGGAGCCAUCAUAGUAUUUUUGAACUCCUCAAAAAAAAAGAAGGGUGGUAAUUGGAUCAUUUACCCAUCUGGGUAUAAUAGAACCCCCUUUUUAUCCUUGUUUGAUGAAGGGUAAAAAGCAAAUUCCAUUGGCGAGCCGUAUGCAAUGCGAAAAAGUGCCCGUACGGUUGUUCAAUUCUAUCUUUUUCUUUAUCUCUUCCCCUCGCCGAAUCGUGCGAGAUAGAGGAACCUUUUAUUAUGUUAUAAUAUAUCAUCAGGGUCAUGAUCCAUCAACCUAUUGGCGCUUUUUAUGGGGCACAAACGGGAGAAUUUAUCCUGGAUACGGAAGAACUACUGAGACUGCGCGAAAUCCUUACAAUGGUUUAUGUACAAAGAUCGGGCAAGCCCUUAUGGGUUGUAUCCGAAGACAUGGAAAGGGAUACUUUUAUGUCAGCAACAGAAGCCCAAGCUCAUGGACUUGUUGAUCUUGUAGCGGUUGGAUAAAACAUAGCAGUCACUUCUUAAGGGUUUAAUAUUCUAUUAAACAGAAGAAAUUCAUAAUCAUCCGGUUAGGAUCGAUCUAAACCAGCCCAUAAUGGAUAAUUCAGCAUGCCAACUAUUAAACAACUUAUUAGAAACCCAAGACAGCCAAUUAGAAAUGUUACCAAAUCCCCCGCUCUGCGGGGAUGUCCUCAGCGCCGAGGAACAUGUACAAGGGUGUAUGUGCGACUCGUUUCAAUCAUGGGCUGAGACAAACCAAAAGAAAGAAACCCUUUUUUAAGUAUCAAUGAUCAGUACCUGUGAAUCGGAUAGAAUAGAAGAAGAAGAACUCCAUUCACUAUCUAAAAAAAGAUCGAUCUAUCAUAUCUUUCUAUUGUGUAUGAAAUUUAUGGUUUCCACUGGCGCAAAUUCCACCACCUCAAUUUGCAAUUAAUUUAAGGUGAGAAAGAAUUCCCCAUUGGUAACAAAUAGUUAUCCAUUAAGCGGGGGAAAUACUAUAAAAAAGCAGAAAGAUUAUCUUUCUACUCUUGCAAGAACGGACUAACAAGGUCAGCUACCCCACCAAUCUUCAUAAUUAAAUACCGUUACUGUAUAAGGUCUAUCUCGUUAUGAAAGACCUAUUACUAGAAAAUUCAUGGGUAGAGCCGAAGAGUGGUAACUGUACAAGUUACCAAUAGAAUUGAUUAAAUGAAGGAAGUGGCUCCGGUGUAUAGAGAGGGCCUCACCGUUUAAGAAGUAAUCAUAGAGACGACGGAACCCACAAUUUCUUUAUCUAUUUACUACUUUCGUUUUUUUUUUACUAUUUUCUUUCCAAUGCCUCGACAAAAGGUAAAAGCGUGGUCGGGAAGGUUAGAGUAGCAAAAGCCAUUGGAAUUUUGAUUUUAUAAAUUGGAAGAGUCCGUUUUGUUAUUAAUAGACUAGGAAAGGGGAAAAGAAUAACUGAAAGAAAGGAAAUCAAUUAGUUAUUCAUCAAAGUUUCAUUUAUUCAAUGACCAGAAUUAGACGAGGAUAUAUAGCUCGGAGACGUAGAACAAAAAUGCGUUUAUUUGUAUCAAGCUUUCGCGGGGCUCAUUCACGACUUAGCCGAACAAUUACUCAACAGAAAAUAAGAGCUUUGGUUUCGGCUCAUCGCGAUAGAGAUAGGAAAAAAAGAGAUUUUCGUCGUUUGUGGAUCACCCGAAUAAAUGCAGUAAUUCGCGGAAAUCUGGUAUCCUAUAGUUAUAGUAGAUUAAUAUACAAUCUGUAUAAGGCGCAGUUGGUUCUUAAUCGUAAGAUACUUGCACAAAUAGCUAUAUCAAAUAGGAAUUGUCUUUAUAUGAUUUCCAAUGAGAUUAUAAAAUAAGGAAAUUGGAAGGAAUCCAUUAUAAUUUUUAAACGGAGUUCUCUGGAGAAUGAACUCCAGUAAGAGGAAGGUAGAGUAGAAAUAAUAUGAUAAAGUCGUCAAAAUGAGCGAACACGCUCAAUAAAAAAAAAGAUUGAUUUUAUUCUUCUUUCCCAAUUCUUUUUUUUUUUUUUUCUUACGGCACGGCUGCUUCACAGAUUUUUUGAACAAAACAUCCAUCUGUGUUUGAGUUCAGAUUGGAAUUUUUAUUUAAUUGAAGAGUAAGCCUAUUUUUUUCUGGUUCUAAGACCGGGAGGUCUAGCGGUCAACCCACUUCUUUCAAAUUGUUUCUCAUUAUUAAGAAAAGGUAACGAAGAUAAAAUACGAGCUUGUUUUAUAGCAAUAGUAAUUAAUCGUUGUUCUUUUAAGGUCAAUCUAUUCACCCGUCUAGAUAAUAUUUUUCCUUGUUCACUAAGAAAUCGACUAAUUAAAGUCAUGUUUCUAUAAUCAAUUCGAUCCCCCGAUUGGAUCGGGGGCAAACGCCUACGAAAAGAUCGCUUGGAUUUAAGAAAGAGUCGCUUGGUUUUAUCCAUAAUUUGUUUAUUCCUUAUCCCUAAAAUCCCAUUUCGAUGAAAUCAAAAAAUGAUUUAUAGAAUCCAUUAUAGGAUUUGGUUUGUCUAGAUUUAUUUAUUUGUUUUUAUUAAAAUAUAUGAAAUAAUCUAGAUAUAUAUCUAGAUUAGUUUUUCAUGUCCCUUGGAAGGGUGACACAAAAGCACGCGGCUUGACUCUAUCUAUUUUUUUAUCUCCCCAUGAAGUGUAUGCUUGUAACAAUAGGGACAGAAUUUUCUCAAUUCCAAUCGACUGGGUGUAUUGUGUCGAUUCUUUUGAGUAAUAUAUCUGGAAAUACCCCUUGAUUCCUUAUUAACACCGUUUCGAACACAACUAGUACAUUCCAAAAUAACCCUUACUCGGACCUCUUUACCCUUGGCCAUGAACCUCCUUGGGGUUUUUGAUUCACCCAACUUUUCUAUUUUCCGACCCGCAACGAAUAAGAAGCACGGGACAAAAAAAUAGAAGUUGCUAACCACUCAAAAAAAACUUAUGAAAUAAAGAUUUUAUUGCAAUCAAUAUAGUAAAUAAAUAGGAAAUCAAAAUAAAAAAUAAUAAGUAAUACAAGAAUUUCUAACUAUAUUGCUAAAUCGCAGUCCAGUAUUUCAUUUAAGGAUCUUGUAGUGGAGGAUACUCUUACCCUAGCCAUAUUUCGAUUUCCGUUUUCUUUUACCUGUCUAUUUGCUUUUAACUGGAUAAUUAAUAAUUAAUUUAAUCGGAGCCUGAACCCGGGUUUCGCUGAGGUUGAAGCCACCUUUUUUCUUUCGCUUUCCUUCUUUCUAAUUGUAAAACAAAAAAACGAAAAGAGGGGAAAGAGAGAUUAGUCACAAAUAUUUGAUUCUAGCUCUAAUCUUCUUCACCCCGUUCCAGUUCAAUAACUAGAAUGAAAAAAAAGGAAAUGUCAAUGCGUCGGGGAAUAAACGGUUGAUUUCUAUCAAUAACCCUGCUAAAGACCCGAACCAUAGAGUACUUAGUACCGGUGCCACGGAAAGAUAUGUUUUUAGAUCUCGCAUUGAAAAUCCUCCUUCUUUUUUGUUUUUGUAUUCCCUAUUGGAAUAUAUUAUGGUAAGAGAUGUAUAUGUAGUUAAAGGCCCACUUGUAUUUGUGCGCGGAAUCCCUAAUUCAAAUUGAAAUGCGCAAUGAUUCGGUAUAUAAGAUUUGAUUUUCUUUUUUUUUUUCUUAAAACAGAAAAAGGGUCACUUUACACCUGCGAAUUCCCAAGAAAAAUAAUAAUUUAUUAUUAUUAUAUGGUAUAUGAUAUGAGACCAAAAACAAGAAAAGGCAAGAUCCAUUUUGCAUAUCACUAGAGGGAAUAAAAAAUAAGGAUGUGGAAAACAAGACAGGGAUUCUUUACAAUGAUAUUGUAGGCCAAUUGAAAGGGAUGUAGCGCAGCUUGGUAGCGCGUUUGUUUUGGGUACAAAAUGUCACGGGUUCAAAUCCUGUCAUCCCUACCAAUUACCGCUCAGAGCAGCAGUAACGCGAGAUCUUUUUUUUUUUUUUUUUUUUCGAUCGAUUUCAUUUUGACAUACAUAAAUUUCUAUUUUAUGAUAUAUGAUAGUAUACACAUACAAGAAUUGUUGGGGUAAAAAAAGAGAAUCUCCUUAUUUCCAGCCUUUUUCGUUGUGAUAAGAAAGCGCUCUUAGUUCAGUUCGGUAGAACGUGGGUCUCCAAAACCCAAUGUCGUAGGUUCAAAUCCUACAGAGCGUGAUUCCGCUCUUGUCGUCUUAGAUCUAAAACCAUACACACUGAACUGAAAUAAUUGAACAGCAAUCUGAAUUUGACCCUGACCUCCCCUCGGAUUAAAUUAAAGAAGGGAGGGGUCAGUUAAAAAAAGAGAUGUUAAUUAAUCAAAGGUCCAACUGAUCACCACGUCUGUAUUGUAAAUAGGCGGUUACGAAUAAUCCAGCCAAAGUAAUAGGAAUUAGACCUAAGACGAUUCCAAAUAGAAAGACUUCAAUCAUUUGAAUUUUAUUUAUUUUUUUUUUUAUUUGAAAGGUUAAAAAGAGAGGUAAUAUCUAUUCCUAAAUAUUAAUCUGCCUUGCCUAGGAAUCUCAAUAACCAAUAAUUGGUAAUUAACGUGGUACGGUAAGGAACUAGACAAUAUGUGGAAUACCACAGAAGGGUUUCUUUUUAUGAAUUAUUCCUUCAAUUAAUUUCAAAUAAGUCCUAUCUUACUCAGACCAAUAAAUAGAGCCGAGGUUAUAGUUAAAGCCGCUAGUAGAAAACCAAAAUAACUAGUUAUAGUAGGCAUGACAGAGCUAAAGGAAAUAUGUUCUUUUUAUACAUAUGUUUAUAAAGCACUUCCCUAAGUUUCCACUUUUGGACGAUACGAAGAUAAGCAAAAAUGCUCUACCCAUUGAAAGAAUACCUUCAAUUGAAAGUUUUGAUUCUUCAAGUAUUCUAGAAGGUACUAACAAAAAUGAGUGGCAGGGAUAGAAAAAGAAACCAAUUCAUCGUCUUUUACAGCGACCCAUCCCACGAUUCCGAAUCAACAGAUUGAGUGGGCAACUCUUGAAUCAACUAAUAUUAAAAAAAUACUAAAAACUAUGCCAUGUAACUUUGAGGAAUCGCUUCUAUUUUGUAUUUUAAUUUUUUCUUUUUUAUUGUAUCAAAUACAUUUUCGACUAAAGAGUGACCACCUUAUAAUACUUUUUUCUUUACUUUAAUACUUUAAAUAACCUUUGCUUUACUUUUUUCUUUUUUAUUUCUUUUUGA
rnacentral:lncRNA from 1 species